GCAGGUCUUUCCAUCGCCUACCCUCCUGCUCCCGCUGUCGCUUCUGCUUAAACGUGGUGUUAUUAAACGUGGUGUUAUUCCUCGUGCGGUAUAUCCAAAGCGUGGUAUAUUUAUUCGUGUGAUAUUCUGAAAGCAUGGAUACAUUAUUUCCAGGAAAAACAGAAAAUGUGUCGUCGGGAUCGCCUCCCUCGAAGAAGGACUUUGUUUCUUGAAAAGUGAGAAAAAUACGUAUUGAAGUAAUCAUUGAAAUUUUGAC